UUUUCAAAUCUGCACUGGACUCGGUUUCUAAAAUUUCUUUACCUCGCUUACCUUCGGGAUCAUGUAGUGUGAUUUCAUCUUUGCUUAAGUUGAUCGUAUGAAAGCGUCUUUCAUUUGAGAGGUAUUGAAGUUGAAAGUUAUCUUUCGAUCUUUCGGGAACCUGAAAAGUAGAAACACAAGAAAAAUUCAUAUCUUGGUUAGUGGAAACAUUCCUCACUACCCUUUCCACGUCUUUUUCUUUUGUUUCUUUUUCUAAUUCAUUUUCUCUUCUUUCUUCAAUUUCUUUUUCACUCUCAAUCUCUUUUUGCUCUUUUUCAUUCUCUUUUUCUUUUUCCUCACUUGUUUUAACAGAAUUUUUCAGUUUGAUUUGGUCCUCAUGGACUUGUUCCAGAGUGAGCGGCACUAAGGUGAGUUUCUUUCCUUGAUGCUUGAAAGAAUACCUAUUGGUACGACCAUCGUGAGUGACUUUUCGAUCCAGUUGCCACGGUUCUCCUAGCAACAAAUGGCAGGCUUGAAUAGGCAUUACGUCGCACACAACUUCGUCUUGAUACUUACCGAUAGAAAAGGCGAUGCGCACUUGUUGAGUGACCCUAAAUUGGCCUUCGUUGCUAAGCCCUUGUAGUUGAUAAGGUUGUGGAUGCUUGGUAGUGGUUAAGCAAAGCUUUUCCACCAUCGUCGUGCUGGCUAUGUUCAAGCAACUUUCACCAUCAAUAAUAACUCUACAAAGCUUACCUUGUACAUGGCAACGAGUAUGAAAGAGAUGUUCUCGUUGCUGCUCGCUCUUUGGUUUUGCCAAAGAUGAUUGUCCAUGAUCAUGAAAAUCAUCAUCCAUUCUAGGGACACGUUGAGGGUUGCACCUAUGGGGCUGGUUAUCCCUAUCUUCCUUAAUUGGAUCUCGAUAUUGAUGUUUUUGAUUCACUCGUACCUCAUUCAAAGUAGUAUUCAAUGCUUGAAGUGUAGCAUUUAUUUGUGUGAUUGCAGCAGUAUGUCUGUCUAACUGUUGUUGGACUUUCAUAAGUGCAUCAUUAUUAUCACCUUUAGACAUCUUCAAAACCUGUAAAAAAUAAACACUCAACACUCAAAAAUAAAAGUUAGCAAACCUCACCAUUAAUCACUCAAAAAGAAAAAUCAAAUUCUCAAUGAGGUCGAAUUCAAUCUUGUGAGUUCUUUAUCAGAGUUUAUAUCAACCAAUUAGAGAGUGUGAACCAAACUACCAAAGAAUCCUAAUUUGCACUAGGAUGCCAAAAACUGACGAGACACCAAGUGAUUCGUGUUGCACCGAGGAAGGAUUGUGCACACGUUUAAAUCCUACUAACACAAGAAACAAGAAGGUGUUAGAUAUUUUAAAAGGAUAAUAAAAAGCAAACAAAUGAAAACCUACAGCUAAGAAUCAAUAAAAAUUGCUGAAAACAGAAAACUCGAAAAACUGUGGAGUAACUUGACAACUUCGUUCGAGGUGUUCCCGAUCUCAAAAAAUCAUAAAAUUAAAUCUCGAAUGUCCUUAAAUAUUUAAUAUUUGAUCUGGAAAGUUUGGGCACCAAACUCAACCCGCUGAAUUUUUUUUAAAUUUUUAUUGGAUUUCAUCUUUUUUUCUAUUUUUUGACUUUUUUGACUGAUUUUUUUGCGGGAAUAAUUUUUUUAUAUUCAAUCACAGUGCCACAAAUAUGUAUGUAAAAUUUUAGAUCAAUUUGAUAAUGUUUACCCACUCAAAUAAAUUUUUUUUGAAAGAUUUUUCUGGGUAAAACUGUUGUUUUUGCUUUAAAAUAUUGAGAUCAGUUUAGAAAUCAACCAAGAACACCCAAAACACCCAAAAUCUGAUACCAAAUGAUACGGGGUUGCACACGGACCAAGAUCGAGUUGCCAAGUCACGGGAAACUCCUACGAAAACCCUAAACAAUCAGAUCCGAAACAAAACAGAAAAAUUAAAAGAUUAGAACUUUGAAUUUCCAGAUCUGAAAUAAAAUCCCUAAAUCAGCAAAGAAUCAAAUUGAGAAUAGAAAUAAGUGUUAGGGUUCUUGAAACCCUUAAGGAGAUUGUGAUUCUGCCCAAUUGAACACCAAGAUAGUUUUCCCCAAAUUUCGACAAUCUAAUUUCACCCAAAAAGAGUAUGGAAAAACCCUAGAAAUUGGGGAUUUUGGGGCUGAUUCCUUAAGAUAGAAAAAGGCUGAAAACACAAUAAGAACAGAAAAUAGAUUAGAUAAUGAUUCAGCACAAGUAGAAAUAAAGAAAGAAUUGACAGUAAGAAAUUAAAAGAUAAGUCCUAAGAAGCUUUGAAAUCUCGAAAGAUCUCACAACUCCCUUCAAACGGCUCUAAUCUCCCCUCCAAAGAAUAUCAAUGGCAAGAAGAAGGUUGAAGAUGGCUCCCACAAUCAAAAGAUUGUUAAAACAACUUCUAAAGAAAACUCAAGAGAGAAAUCUUGGAGAAAACUCAAAGAAAAUUCUGCUCUCAACAAAUCUGAAAUUUUAAUAAUAAUGAUAAGUGUUUAACAAGGUGGACAGCCAUGCCUUUAAAUAGGCCUUAUAACUAGUCCUAAUCUAAUUAGAAAACUAAAAUAAAAAAAAACUCCUAAUUAUUUUAAUAUGGAAAUUUGGUCAAAGGUCAUUUUAUCUGAGACUCUUGGACUGAAUAUUGACAUAAAAAUUUAAACUAAGUAAAUAAAUAAAUAAAUAAAAAUAAAACUUUACAACUUGGGCCACUUUGACAAUUUGGCCUGAUUUUCAACUAAGUAUGGAUGGAUUUCUUGAUUGGGCUGGGAAUUUGCUUAUUGGGCCUCGCCUUCAAGAAUUUGGGCUUUUGUGACUCGUAUCAGACGAUAUUAUCUCUUUCGGUCUAAAAGAUAACAAAAGGAGAUUUUGAAAAGAAUAAUGAAGAAUAGGGCAGCAGCGGAGGUAGGAAAAGGAAUUUAGACUUACAACACGGUGGGUGUAUGGUGCCACGAUACUUCCCACUUAUGAUGGUGUUGGAGAUCCUUUAGGGUGGUUGAAAAGAUGAAUUUUUUUUUUUGGCAAUCAACGAACUAACGAAGAAGACAAAAUAAGCUUAGCAUCAUUCCAUCUUUUAGUAGAGGCACAAUUGUGGCUUGAUCAAAUGGAAGAAGAGGAGGCAAAUCUGAUUGGGGGCACUUCAAAGAGUGUUGUCAUGUAAGGUUUGGGCCACCUAUGAGUAAUAACCCCUUGUGAGAACUUGCCAACUUGAAACAAACUGGGACUGUAGAGGAAUAUCAACGUCAAUUUCAAUCACUAUUGGCUAGGACUAUUGAUCUUAAACCUCGACAACAAGUAAACCUCUUUACUGCCGAGUUGAUCGAAGAACUUAGAAUUGAUAUUAAGAUGCAACAAUCGGAAAACCUUGGAGUUGCAAUGAAUAUGGCUCAAACAUUGGAAUGUAAACAAAAUGUCUUUUCCAAACUGUUAUCUCGAGCCAUCCUGAAUUGGCCAACUUCCCAAAACAUCGGCAGCAAUUCAAUCAUUCCAACAACUAAGAGCAUUGCGAAGGGAGGGGGACAAAGAACAAAACCAAUAGGAACAAUGGCAAAAUAGGUUCUUCUGCACCAUUUUUUAAGAGAUUAACACAGACAGAAAUGGUGGAAAGAAGGGCUAAAGGGCUAUGUUAUAAUUGUGACGAGUCUUAUUCAAUGAAACACAAAUGUAAAAUGUUAUUUUGGAUAGAAGUACCAUAUGCUGAAGGCAAGCAAACUGAUGAUGAGAUAGAUGAUUUUGGAUACGUUCUGAAGUUUAUUUUGAAUUUGAGCUUGAGGACAAGCUCAACUCUAAGAAGGGGAGUAAUGAUAUGGACGCUUUUAUUGCAAUAGGAAUUUUAGUUUUAUUUAUUAUAUCAGGUUCUAUUAAGAGUUUUGGUUUUACUUAUUUUCUCUAUUAUAUUUGGUUUUUGUUUCUUUAUAAACUCUAAGUUAUGAAUUCUAUUUUAUGACAAUUAGAACUCUUUCCUUUGUUAUUAAUAGUCUAUAAAAGGUUGCCAAUAUGAAAUAAAGAGGCAAGCAAUUAUUCUAUAAAAAAGAAACGAUAUUUUGAGGGGGGGUUCAGUCAAGAAUAAACCUGCAUUUUGAGUAACUAUAGGUCGAAGCAAGAAUUCUUUCUCGUCUAGACCUAUGACUAGAUUCUAUACCAAGGCGCAUAACAAAUUCAUAGUUUGUUCAAAAGCUCAAGCUCCUAUGGCAUACAUGCAGUUAACAAAAUUGACCAGUGCAUUCUCCCAGUAAGUACAUUAGAACAUUUUGUGACUUCUAUAACAAUGGAUUGAGCAUGGCUACACUCACAUUCACUUUGGAGCAUUAAGCUUAGCUCUAAGCUACCAUGGCACCAAAGGACAACCAACUUUGCCAGGAUAACCCUUUUAGGUUCAAGAUGCCUCAAAGAUCCAAUACUUCUCAAAUGCCUCAAAGUUUAGAUCCAAAUAGUUGGAGCAAAAAUGAUCAAUGCCACAAAUGAAGCAACCCUCCACUACUAGUGGAUUACAGAGUUAAAGAUCAUGCAAUUGACAACUCCAUCCCAUUCAAACAUGAGAUCCUGUUCGUGAAAUUUGAUGUACAAGAAAACUUAGUCACUUGUGUACAUGUUCUUAAAGUUGUAACUAGGUAACAGAUGGAUCUCUCUACUCCGUUUCUCAUGGAUUGCAAAUUAUGAAAAGUUUCAUAAAAAUAUGAAGCCAAUCCAGUCUAUGGAGGCCGCAUGCACCACUAAUCCGGACAAAACAGUGACCACCAAAUUCAAAUGUGAAGAAAUUGAUCGAAAAGUGGUCACAUCUUGUCUUUCCAACCUAGUUCAUGAUAGAGUCAGUAUUCACAUCUCAAACAGUGCGGUUCUAGAUGUAUCAACCAAGAUAUGAUUAUGGUCUCGGUCGAUGAAAACACAUCAUCACAGUUUCUACACUGAAGGACCGUUGAUAUAUUAUUUCAAAGGUUCCUCAACUAUACAUUAUCCAUGGGAUAUAAACUAUGAUUGUGACGGAUGCCAUGAAGAUAGUCUUACUCAGGCUUUGAACCAAUCGGACUAAAGAUAGAAAAAUAAAAGCAAAAACAUAUGUUCUUCUAAGAAAACACUCUACAAAAAGAUACCUUGAUGGAGAUCCCUGAGUUGCACCACUUAGACAAGACCACAAACCAGUACAUGGUGAAAUACACGCCACCUCUAUGGUGAAAUACACGCCACCUCCAUGGGCAACAAUAGUGCAAGAGGACAUUCUUCCUGCAGAUGGGCCAACACUUUCACCUUCUCCAAAACUAAGAAGAUAAAAGCCACACCCUUGCUAUGCUAUAGGACUAGCGUACAUUGAAAAAGAAAGACAAAAAAAACAGAAGGUACAGAUUUCUUAGGUUUGUAAGAUCCAACCAAAAACCCUGCAUGACACAAAGUUUUUUCUAUUACAAGAUUACCAAAGAAACAAAAAAAGACACAUAUUGAAAGCCCUUAACCUUACUGAUAGGGACGAAAAGAGAAACCAAAAGAAAGUAGUGGCACUAGAAGAAGUUUGAAAUUAGUAAACCCAAAAUCCAUUGCACAAAAUGCCAACCUUUAAAGAAUUGAAAACAAGAUCAACCAGAUCAAUGAACAUUUUGACCACCAUCUCCAGACACUUCAAAAUGUAAUCUAUGAGAUCCAAAUGUGACUAGAUGUUCUUAAUAAGGAACUCCAACAAAGUUUAAAGACGAGCCAAUGAUUCAUAUUUACAAUGUCUGGAAAAAUAAGCAGAGAUUAGAUCUCUCCAAAAGCAAUUCCUAGAUUUACAAUGGCAAUACAACCAGAAGGUUUAAGAGCAAGAAGCUAAAAGUUUCUACCAGCUAGCGCCAAGGAUGUUUGAUACAUACCCUCAAACUUCUCAGGCACCAUGACAUAUUCCUUUCUACUCCUCCCAACAUCUUUAGUCAACUCCUCUGACAACACAUUCUCUACUGUCAUCUCCUCUUGUUCGACGAGAUCUAUUCUUCACUCCCCUGAACUUAGAAGCACAGCAGGCUCCACCAGGUGUAAAGGUUACUAAAGCAUGGGUCUAGAAGUUCAAAUAGGAAUAACAACAACUGUAGAAAGAAAAAGUAAAAGAAAAGGCAUAUUAACACUCCUUUACCAAAUUCAACUAGGCCCAAAACUGCAACAAGCUUUCUAGAUCCAAAUUUGGUGCUUCAUCCAAGCAACCAACAUAGUUGAUGACAAAGGAAGCAGAUACACCGAGUGUAUUCUCCUCUAUACUAAAUGGUUUGGUUAGGGAUAACCUACUAGUCAUUGACAUAGAAGAAUCCUCUGAGUACUCCUCCCAAGGAUAUACAAAAGACUCCAUAAUACCUAGUGACAGUGAUAAAACUAUACCGAAAGAAUGCCUUCCCUAGAUGUUUCUCAUUGAACCUCAAGUAGAAACAUUGAUGAUAUUCCAUCGAGCAAAUGGAAUAUACGAUUUCAAGAGUACUAGGCGUGGACGUACAUUGAACUAUUCAAAGUAGGUGCUACAACAAACUUAGUCCUACUGUAGUUUGUUGCAAGAUUAAUAGGAAUGUUCAAAGAGUUUUGGAUGCAUUAGGAGGAUACAAACAAGCUAUGCAAGAAUUAGCUACACUAUUUUGCGGACAACAAGGCCAUAGGAUUGAUAAGAUCCGAGAGCAAAUUUUCAAGUUGAAAUGUUGUUCUCUUCGUUUGAUAGAAAUUACUAAACUUCUCUAAGUAUUACUUCAUACUUGAAGGACUCCACAAUAUCAAACUAUAGUAAGUGUUCCUCAUAUCAAUCCCAAAACAACUCAAUGAGAAAACUUAAAGCCUACUAGCUGCAAGAAACCUCUCUAUCUCCAUUGUUCUCCUUGGAGAUCUAUACAAAAUUAUGCAUAAGGCCCUUGAUAUGAUUUGCAAUGAGCACAAAUAGAUCAUGAACAUAGUUCAGAUUCAAAGAGCCUCAAAACCCCUGUGCUUUCCCUUUAGGACUACAAAUCAAAUGCUCAAAGAAUGACUCUGAAUGCCUUUGCCAUUAUGGCAAGAAGAAGCUUACAGAAGAUCCCAUUUCAAGUCCAGAUUCUCUUAUAGACUCGACAAUUUCCAGAAAAAGGCAUUUUAGGCAAAACAAUGAAUAUUUCAAUAUGGCAGAUAGACCCUAAACCCUAAACAGAAUAAAAUUUUGCAAACUGAUCAAGUACGAAAUAUAAGUCGAUCUGUGAAUGGAUGUGCAACUCUAAUCCUUUAGAUAUGUUGUGAAUUGAAGUUGUUGGCAAUAACAACUACGAAAACUGUAAGGAUGUCUCCAUAAACCGUAGCAGAUAUGAGCUAAGGACAUCUAUAGUGUUUAGCUACAGUAUCUCAUGUCUCGGGAAAGGAUGGUAUGAAAUAGUGACGCCACGUCAUCUGUAUCCCUUCCCAAUAGUUUUAUGCCACAUCAGUAUUCUUAUCUUGAAUUUUAGGAUUUUAUCCUAAAAAAUCAAAUUCAAAUUGAAAUACUAAAAUUCAAGAUAAAAUCUUGAAAUUCAGGAUAAAAAUACUGAUGUGGCAUAAAAUCAUUGGAAAGGGAUACAGAUGACGUGGCGUCACUGUUUCAUACAAUCCUUUCUCCUAAUAUCUCCUACUUUUGUUAUGUUUUAUAGAAUUUACUUAAUAUUUAAUUCUUAUAUUUAAAAGGAAAGAUUGUAAAGUUAACAUAUCUAUUUCUUUUAAUGGCAAUGUGGUUUGACUCACAGAUUGCAAAGAAUUCCUCAAGAAGUCGUUAAUAGUGAUGGGAGAGAUAGGAGGAAAUGAUUACAGUCAUGCAUUCCUUCAAGGUAAAAGCACUAAGGAGAUUCUACACUUUGUUCCUCUUGUUGUUGAUACCAUUGCUUCAGCAAUCACGGUAACAAAUUAAUUCGUGUUGGACAGAUACUCGUGUUUGACACUUAUAUAUUGUCAUAUAAAUAUAAUAUUUAAUUUCGAAACAUCAUCAAAUACAUAAAAAACUUUGAAAAAUUCGUAUUCAACACUCAUGUCCAACCAAGGGUGAAGGGACGGCUAGACAAGGGCCCUGACCCUCCUAAAACGGGAAAUUUAUGCUUUAGAUCCUAAAAUUUAUAAAAUCAUAAAUUAAUAUAUAGUAAAAUUAUACUUUACCUUCAAAAUGCUAGAAAUUUUUUGAAAACCAUAACGAUAUAAGUUAAUACAAGGAUCAAAUUGUAUUUUAAUUAUUAUAAAAAAUAUAUAACUUAAUCUCGACUCCCCCUAAAAAUAUUUCUGAUCCAACAUAUAAAUAUUGUAAUAUGACUUUAAAAGAUCCUUCAAAUAUUUGAAAAUUUUAGGAAAAUCUAAAUAUACUCUAUGUCGCAUACAUGCCUGUAUUUUAUCAUACCUGUGUUGGAUAUAUAAUUUUAUCGAACACUCAUGCCUGAGUCUGAAUUAACGACAAUCUUUUACAGAAUUUCUUCAUACCAGAAAAAGUUUUUUUAGUUGAUAAACAAUGCUAUGCAGGAGUUGAUAGGGCUAGGGGCGGUCACAAUUUUGGUCCCUGGAGACCUUCCGAUUGGAUGCUCCUCAGCAUAUCUCACAUACUUUCAAGGUUCCGAUAUGGCAGAUUAUGAUCCUUUAACUGGUUGCAUAACAUGGCUGAACCAAUUCUCCGAGUUCCACAACGAACAGCUUCAGAAAAAGCUCGAUCAGAUGCGCAAGCUUCAUCGAAAUGUCAACAUCAUUUACGCAGAUUAUUACAACAUUGCAAUGCGUUUCUACCAUUCCGGAACCAAUUUGGUAAGGCUUAUACCUUAUAGUAUAUCUAAACCAAUGGUUCAAGAAUAUUUUCUGUCAGGAAAAAGUAUUAUAGAGAACUUUGUAUUAGAUGUUAGAUUAUAUUUCAUCCCAUUUACUCAAAAAAUAGAUAAAUUAGUCCUUAUCUAUUAGAUUAAUUAGCAAAUCGAUCUUUUCUAAUAAAAAUAUCAUUCAUUUUUACUGUUAAAAUUGACAUUGAUGACAAAAUAACCAAACAGUUACAUUGCUCGGCCAUAUAUACCUUACUCUAACAUACAAGAACCAAUUUUUAACAGUAGAAAUGAAUAAAAUUUUCUACUAAAGAACUAAUUUGCUCUUUAAUCUAAUGUAUAUGAACUAAUUUACUUCAGCCUUCAUAGUACUUUUAGCAGUUUCUGUCUCAUGCGGAUUAUUGGCACAUAAAAGUGUCGUAAUCUGUAUAAUAUAUACAUAACGAUUGAAUUUCAGCCUGUUUACAUGGUUUUUUUUGUUGUUGUUGAUAUUGAAUGAUUACAGGAUUUACUGAAACACUUAGAUCAUGUUGUGGAGGGGGAGGUCGAUACAAUUACAGUGCAUCAGUGGCAUGCGGGGAUCCGCCAUUAACGACAAGCUGCAAGGACCCUUCUUCACAUGUGAGUUGGGAUGGUUUACAUUAUACUGAGGCAACUUACAGAUGGAUUUCAAAGGGUGUUUUAGAAGAACUAUAUGCUAUUCCUAAUACAAAUAGCUUGUGUUUUCCAUCUACCGUAAACAAAUAAAUUUAUUGAUAAUAAAUUCAUAAAAAAAGGGUUUAAUCUAGUGUCUUUUCAAGAUCUUUAUGAAUCUCGUUGCAAUGCCAACAAUGUUUAUGUCAAUUAAACUAAGACUUGAUUAGAAAAGAUAUUUGAAUAUAGGUGUGAGUAUUAAUGGCUUUAAAUUUGAUCGAACCCAUCAAAUUGGGCUUUUUCUUAAUAGAUUUAUUCGGUUAAUUUGACCAUUCAUUAGUUCAUUUAUUUAUUUAUAUUUCUAUAAAUAUUAAAUUUUUUGUUAACUUCAGUAUUAUUAUUAACCGCGCAUCAACUUUGUUGGAUAAUGAUGAAGUUACUUUUACUUUACAAGGUAAAGUGCAUAUUUUGAGUGUCUUUUUAUAUAUUUUAUAUAAAAAUAUGCACAUAAUAAGAUUUGAAAUUAAACCUCUAUAAUUUUUAACAUUAUACUUUACUCUUCGGUCAAAGUCUUAAUUGUUAUUUAUAUUAUUAUUUUAUAAAAAUUGUUUUUAUAUAUAUAUAUUUUUAUUCACAUGUGAGUUUGAGUGAACUAUAAUCUAGUUAUAGUCUAGAAUAAUUUAGCAUAAAUAUAUAAAUAAUUAUUUUUUAAAUUGGUUGAAGUAACCGACUUAAAUUUACUUUGAUUUUUCGAUUAAUCAAGCUAAAUUAGUAUCAUAAGUUAAUUUGAUAUCAACUAAAAGUUUUAAAAAUUAAAAUUUUUUUAAUUUGUAUCUUUAAAUAAAUUUAUAAUUUGUUUUAAAUUAGAUAGUUUCGACUUUGAUUUUUCGAUUAAUCAAGCUGAAUUGAUAUCACAAGUUAAUUUGAUACCAAUUGAAAAGAUUAAAUACUAAAAGUUUUUAAUUUAUGUCAUCAAAUAAUUUCAUAAUUUGUUUUUAAAUCAGAUAGUUUUUGCUUUGAUUUUUUGAUUAAUCAAGCUGAGUUAGUAUCAUAAGUUACAAAAAAAUUUAAAAUAUUAAAAGUUUUUAAUUUAUGUCUUUAAAUAAUUUUAUAAUUUUUUUUAAAGUAGAUAAAUUUUUUUAUACAAUAUUACAAUAUUUGAUAAAAACUUUAACCACUGGUUCAUAUAAAUGGAGAAUUUUAAAUUAGAUAGUUUAAAUUGCAACUUUAAAAUACUAUAAAAAUUUUCCUUCCCUACACUAGAUGCCACAUAAUCUAAUUUUAAUUGUUUUUAUUGUAUCAUAUUAUAUAUUUAAUCUAUAGCAAGAAUUUUUUAUAUAAAAAUAUUUGUUGGAAUAGUUCUUUUAAGUUACAUGUGACACAUUAAAUAUUUAAUUUAUAUAAUUAAAUUUUCAUUUAUAAUUAAUAUAUUGAUACUCGCCGAUUGAGUUUUAGCUCAAUUGGUAUGGAGUCAAGUGUGCUGAAGCGCAUUUAUCAUUCUAUUUAUAGGUUGGAAAAGAGUUAUGGAUAGUUCUAGACAUUGAGUAAAAAAUAGCAGAUAUGAUUAGAAUUUAUAAUGAAAUUAUUCCAAACAAAAUUAAUAUAUUAAUACUAAUAUAUUAAUCGUCAUUUUCCAAAAAAAAAAUUCUAACUUUAAUUUUCUAGUUAAUAAAUAAAUAUUUUUAAAAAAUAUACAUUUAAAAAUUUCCGCAUGCACUAAUGUAUACCUCAUAACAAAAUUAACUAAGAGGCUUUUAUAUCUAUUAAAUACUUUUAAAUAUAAAUAAACUUAAUAUUUUAAAUAAAUCUAAAUAUUUUUAAAUAAAUCUACUUUUAUGAUAGGGAUAAGUAAUCCCUUUUAAUCUUAUUGAUUGACCUCUUAAGAGUAUACAUAAUAUUUAUAAAGCAGUAGUUACGUAAGAAUAGGAAAUAUAUAUAAUAUAUUCCUAAAUAUAUGCCUAAAAGAAAGAUAUACAAUAUAUUUAGAUAUUCCUAAAAGAUAAUAUCCCAUAAUAAGAUAUUCAAAUUGCGGUUUACUAAGCGCGGUUGUAAAAAUGUUAGCCAACUAAAUGGAGGUCAGAACAUAAGAAGCUGCAAUCAAUGCAUCCUGGACUGCAACCCUAGUAAAGUGACAAUCCACUUCAAUAUGUUUAGUACGCUAUUGAAAUAUAGGAUUCUAUACAAUAUGCAACACAAAAUGACUAUUACAAAAUAAAGGAAUAGUUUUAGGAUGAUAAACAACUCAAUAGCAAGGCUUUCAGUCUUUUGAGCUCACAAGUGAUGGAAGCCAUAACCUAUACUUAGCCUCAACAGAAGACUAAAACACAAUAUGUUGUUUCUUAGUUUUCCAAGAAAUAAGAGAUUGUCUCAGAAAGGCAAGCCAACCGGUAAGCGAAUGCUGAGUUAAAGGACAAGCAUACCAAUUUGAAUCACACCACCCCUUUUAAGGAAAAAUCACUAUCAGAUAUCAAUAAAAUCCAUUGGCCAAGAGAACCUUUCAAGUACUGGACAACACGCAAAGUCGUGUCCCAAUGCUUCUGUCUUGACAUAUGCAUAAACUAAGAUAAGACAUGAAAUGAGUAUACUAAAUUAGGUUUGGUCAUUUACCAAAUAAAUCAAACGACCCAUUAACCAUCUGUAUAACUUAGAAUCAGUCAAAACUGCCAUGUAUCACUCGUCAAUCUAUGAUUUUUCUCUAUUGGUGAUCAUGUGGGCUUUGCUCCCAAAAGAUCCGUCUUCGAAAUAAUAUCAAGUGCGUAUUUCCUUUGAUAAAAAUAUAUACCCAAAGAACUACGAGCUACUACUAUCACCAAAAGGUAUUUCAAAACACCAAGAUCUUCAUAUGAAAGCAAGAACUGAGAUACCCCUCAAAAGUUUUCAAAGCAGCAAAAUCAUUCCUAGAAACAAGCGAAUCAUCACCAUAAACUAGCACAUUAAUGUGUACAAAUCUCGUAGUGUAUAUAAAGAGAGAAUAAUCAGAAUAUGAUCGAAGAAAUCCAUUCCCUUUCAGUGCAGUAACUAACUUUGCAAACCAACACCGAGGAGCUUGUUUUAACCCAUACAAAGACUUGGGCAAACAACAAACCAUUCCAGGCUUAUCAGGGACAAAACCUGAGGAACCUUCAUGUAAACCUCUUCAUCAAUAUCACCAUGCAAAAAUGUAUUAUAUAUACCCAUAUAAUGUAACUCUGAUUCAAAGCUGCAAUAGCUAAGAUAGCACGAACAGUAAUCAUUUUUGCCACAAGAUUAAAAGUUUCAUUAUAGUCAAUACCUUCCACCUAGUGAUUACCAAAAACAACAAGAUGAGCAUUAAGUCUCUCAAUACUUUCAUUCGAAUUAUAUUUAAUCUUGUACACCGACUUACUACUCGUUGGACAGUCAAUUGGACUUUCAACAACUAAAAAUAUUGGGGUUGUCUCUAGUCUCUAUGAAGAAUCAUGUACGAUUCAUGGAGGAGGCUUCUCGGUUGAUGGAGAUACAACUUGCAAGAACUCACAAGAGAUACCAUCCACUAAAGUCACCCCACACACAUUCUCCUCAAUUAAUAUUACACACAAUAUUAGCACUUUUCCCAAGAGCUCUUAUAAGUCAUAUCUCUACCAACUAAGGCUUCUCCCUCCAUGAAUUGUACAUGUCUUUCCAUGAAGGUUGAGAACAAAACUCCAACACAUAUCAACAAGGACAAAACUCCAAUAUAUAGCAAUGAAAACCAAUCAUUUACUUGAUAGAUGACAGUUUAAAAACUUUUCUUAAAGAAAUCAAUUCCCCUCUGUACACAUCAACGAGAACAACACCUUCAAACUACAAGCAUCGAAUAAGAACACUACUCCCAAAAACUCAACAACAAUUAAAAUAAGGCAUAAAAGAAUCCUAUAAAAACCCUCGAAUAAGAAUUAGCAAAAACCCACCUUAAAAACCACCAAAAACACUGACCUAAAAAAUUCACAGAUCAAACAACCUAUAAAUCCAAAUUUAAUAUUCUCAGUUCAAUUUCCAAAAGUUCCUUAAUAACAUCUUCUUCAUUAUCAAUAACACUAAACCUAAUCUGUUUUUCCAAGCUCCCACGUUUUUUUUAAGCUUCUUCCCACAUUUUUCUUUUGAUUUUGAAAAUCGAAAUAGAUAGUGACUCGUUUGCAAAUGGAAGAUUUUGAGUCCACAAAUUAUUUUUUUAGUUGAUCCCACUUGGCCUCAUGCUUUGGAAUAUCACCAUUAAUGUUAGAUGGCUACUUGGGUAUACAUGUUUGUUUUUUCUUUGACUCGUAAUAAUUUUAAAACUUAUAUUUAUAUAUAAAUAUAUUAUAAAGACAUAAUUUAUAUAUAUUUCUUUAUAAUAUAUUUGCAUGUAUAUAAGUGUGAAAAAAGAGAUUUAAAACAUCAAUAAACUUGAACUAAUACACUGAAACACAUUGAUAUCAGUAUGUAUCAGUAUCAAGAUAAAAACAAUAUGUCCACCUUUACGAUAUUGACUACUUUGAUCCAUACUCUAAAUGUAUCUAAAUACAAAUAAAAAUGGUAACGACUAGUGUGGAUUUAGAUAUUUGCAAAUAUAUGAUCUAUUUUUACGGAUUUGAAUAUUACAAAUGCAAGUAGUAUUUGUAUUAAGAUAUUCUAAUUAUUCAACAUAUAUAUAUAAUAUCUUUAAAGUUAUUUCAAUUUAUAAAUAUUUUGUUUUAUUAAUUUUUUAUUUAAAUUCAAAUAUUAUCAUAUUUCGAUGGGUUAAUAUUUGAUACACUAGCGGUAUAUAUAUUUUUAUUUCACAAGCAAUUUUAAAAUAUUGUCACAUGUUUCUUUUUUAUAAAUAUUUAUUUAUUUUAAUAUUAUACUACAUCUCCAUAAGACUAUUGUCAACCCUUAACAUUGUUUAUGAAAUUUAAAAAUUCUGCUGGCAGUGUACAAAAUAUUAUUCCUAUUUUAAUUAGAUCCCUUAAAUUUUUGAAAAUUCCCAUUAAUCUAACAAAAAAUUUAAAAGUUUAAUUAGACCUUAAUUUCUUUUUAAAAAGUUGACAUAAAACUCUUAAAAUUUUUAAAAAUUUUAGUAAGCACCCAAACUUUAGUCUAGGAUCCACCAUUAUUAUAUAUCCCAUAAUAGAUAUGAUAAUAUCUGUCCAUGGUUUUGCAGCUGAAGCUUUGGGAUUGCCAUUUCUUCCACCAUAUGAUGGAUAUAAAAAUGAAAAAUCAGAGAAAUUUGAAAGUGGUGUGAAUUUUGCAGUUUGGGGGGGAGCGGGAUGCUAGUGCACUCAAUUCUUCAUUUACUGGAACCUAUAAUCCCGUCACCGACAUAUCUUUAGUAGAUGAAGUGAAUUCCUUCAAACAAUUUCUUAAUCUACGUACAGAUCUCAAACAGCUCCUACGGAACUCUUUGAUAAUGAUGGGAGAAAUCGGGGGAAAUGAUUGCAGUCAGGCCUUCAAGCAAGGAAAAAGCAUUGAGAAUGUUUGAAACUUUGUUCCUCCUGUUGUUGAUUCUAUAACUUCAUCAAUUAAUGUAAGAAUUACCAGUUUUUUACGGCAAUUAUUGAUCAGUACUGUGUUUCAUAUUAUUAUAACAUUUGAGUUUGAUAUGUAGGAGUUGAUCGAGUUGGGUGCAGUGACAUUUCUGGUCCCUGGAAACUUCCCAAUUCGAUGCUCUCCCACUUAUUUGACACUGUUUCAAGGUUCAGACAAGGAUUAAUAUGAUCCCUUAACUGGUUGUCUAACAUGAUUGAACCAAUUCUCUCAACACCACAAUCAAUUACUUCAAAAAGAACUCGAAAAAAUCCGAAACCUUCAUCCCGUCGCCAACAUAGUUUAUGCUAAUUAUUACAGCACUACAAUGCGGAUUUACAGUUCUCCAAACAAAUCUCCAGGGUUUAAAGAACAAUUGAAGGCUUGCUGUGGAACUGGAGGUCUUUACAGUUACAAUCUUUCGAGAUCUUGUGGUCAUCCGCCAGUAACACAAUGUUGCAAUGACCCUUCUUGGAAUCCAUUAUACAGUUGCGGUCAACAGAUUGAUUGCCAAUGUUGUAUUUGAGGAAUUGAUGAACAGCAUUCAUAGUUUAAAUAACUUGUGUAUCAUUUACUUUAAGUAACAAUCCAAACAAUUAUUUUUUUAACAUACAUAUUUCAGAAAGGGAAUCUAAUUCCUUGAUAUACAUUAUACUAAGUUGAUUUCACACCACACAACACAUACCAUUUAUUGUUAGAAAAGGUGUUGUGUUGACAUGAAACGUGGGAUGAAAUUAGAAACAUGACAGACAACAUUGGGACCUUCUUUCCACAUUUUGAUUUUGAUUUUGAAAAUCGAAAUCAGAUAAUGAGUGGUUUGCAAAUACUUAGCUUUAAUGAUAGCAAGGUUAGGAUCCUUUGGUCAAAUCCUUAGCUUUAAUGAUAGAUAAUGACUGUGUCUCCUAUUUAACAAUGUCAUUUUCACCAUUCUCUCCUGUCCCACCAAUUGUAUGAGAAGAGAAUAAUGUUGGAAAAUACAUAUAUAUAUAUAUAUAUAUAAGGGUAAUUAUAUGUUAUUAUUUAUUAUUAUAGGUUAGUUUAAAUUAAAAGUGAUCUAAUUUGGUUAAAGUUUAUUGAGCUUUAAUUAUUAAAUAAAGUAUGAGUCAAAUAUGUGUACAUACUCUAGUAAUUGAGUUCUAAUUAAUUUCUAAUUAAUGAUGGGCUAAUUAGGAAUUAGGGAAAAUAUACCAAAGCUAUAUAUAUUAGGGUUAUGAUUCCCAACUUAGGAAAGAGAAAGUAAAUAUUCUCUUAAUUUAUUGUAUGCUAAUUUGGAAGAUCAAAUUCAAUAUCCUGAAAAACCAAAGGUGAAAAUGCGGAAAUAGGGGAAAUUUUGGGAAAAGAAAAUAAAAAAUAAAAAAUAUAGAUUUUUACAAAAACAAAUUCCAACUUCCUGAUUGUUUAUUAGAUAAACCCAUGACCAUCCAUCCACAAACACUCAAAGUGUGGCACACUCAAGAAAUAGUAAAAAUAUUGUCAUUUGCUCAUGCAAAGAUUCAAACACAUGACCAUAAGAUAAGUUAACACUUUAUCACUAAAUCAACAACUUCAUUCUGUUACUAGUUGAACAAAAAUAAUUUUUAAGUUAAAUAGAUAGAGACAAAGCUAGGAACAAAAAUAAUAGAAUUUUUCUCAAGGAGAGAUUUAAAUCUAUGACCUCCAACACACAAUCAAGGCCUUUAACCACUGAAAUAGAUACUUACCUAUGAUAAAAUUUAAUAAAUCAAAUAUUCAAAUUUUUGUGGCGUAUAAAAUUUUUCUCAUGUUUUUUAGUGAUCCGUUUCAUGUUUUAAGUAUUAGUGUAAUGAAUAUUUCAAGGGAUUUUAUUAACAGGGCAUAUGAAAAUAUUAUUGAUCCAGAAGAUGUGCAUGAUGGAGGAAGUGAUAAUGAAGAUGAUGGUGAAUCAAACAAUUCAAGUGGUUUUGAAGGAAUUAACAAGAGAUGCUAUAGCUUCUAGUUUAAUGAAUUCACUUUAAAAUGCGAUGCUAUAGCUUCUAGUUUAAUGAAUUCACUUUAAAAUGGAAAUGUUAAUGUAAAAUUUUUAAUAUUUAUAUUUGGUAUAUAAAUAUUACUCUUUUUUAAAAAUUUAAUCUAAAUACAUGCAAUAUUUUAAUUUGUUAGGUUUAUGUUUUCUAUGUUAUGUUAACAUCUAAUAUGUGUUAUAUAUUCAAAUUACAUUUUAAAAUGAAAUAAUACAAAUGUGUUAAAAUCAUUAAUUAAAAAUAAAAAAUACAUUUUUUAAAAUAAUACAAAUGUGUUAAUAUCUAAUUACAAAUAAUUAAUGGUUAUAUUUAAAUAUUAAAAACAUAGUUUAUAUAUUCUAAUUAAAUUGUAUAAAUAAUUAAUAUUAAUUGCUUAAAAAUAUUUAAAAAUUAUAUUUCAUAUAUUAAAAUAUUAACAACAAGCUGUAAUAAAUUAUUUUUUAUAUUCUUGCUAAAAUAUCAUAAUAUUAACUAAUUUGAACAUAUUUAAAUAUCGGCCACUAAAAUUGAUUUAUCCAAGACUCUUCCAUCUUGCCAAAAGUAAGGAUUGUACAGUAGCUGAAGUAGUAUGUCUGUUUGGGAAUGGUAGUGCUAGUUGGAACGAAUAUUUUACUAGACCGUUGUUGGGUAGGGAGGAGGGGUUGUGCAAAGAGCUGGCUGAAAGAGCGAGUGGUACGGUGUUGAAUUUGAACAUUGAUGAUAGGUUGUGUUGGGCAAAAGAUAAAGACGAGGACUUUUCGGUUAAAAAAUGCACUGAAUUAUUGAUGUUGGACGAUGGGGAGAACAAUAUUUUUGAUUGUGGUAAAUUAUGGAAAAUUAAGGUGCCUCCUAGAGUGCGUUGUUUUCUCUGGAUGCUCGCUAUUGAUAGAUUAUCGACAAAGGAGUUUCUGGUUAAAAGAGGGGUGAGCUUUCAAAAUUUAACGAUAAACUGUUCGUGGUGCGAUGGUGUUCCGGAGUGUGCUUCUCAUUUGUUCUUUAAGUGUAAAUUUAUUGAAGGUUUUUGGGGGAGAAUUUUCAAGUGGUGGGAGGUGGCGUGGAAGCAGGUGGAAGGCUUUUUGGACUUCUUUGUUUUAUGUAACAAUGUGCGUUUGGCCGAAAUUUGGAAACAAUUAUCGUUGAUUGCUAUUGAAGCAGCUUGCUGGACAAUUUGGUUAGCAAGAAAUGAAUUGAUUUUUGAUAAAAAGAGAGUUUAUAUGGAAAAUUUGGUGUACCAAUCAAAGAUGAGAGCAUUGCUGUGGAUUAGAUCUAUCCAUGAAGAAAUUUUUUUGAAGGAGAAUCUUUGGUGGAUAUCUCCUCUCAGGUGUCAGGUGGAUUCUAUUAAAUCCAAACCUGCCGUGUUCUGUUGGAGGCCCCUUCCAGUUGGAUGGCUAAAAUUCAACGUGUGUGGGAUUGAGCUAGAAGAUAAAGCAGGGUGUGGAGGAGUUUUGAGAGAUAUGGAGGGUGUGGCAAGAGUAAUAUUUUCGGGUGCUGUCAAUGUGAAUAAUGCUGAGGAGGCUGAGAUUGGUGCAGUGAAGAUUGCUUUAGAAGUUUUUCUAGCAAUGAAUUGGAAGCCAAAAGAGUCUCUAUUUAUUAAAAUUGGUUCUUUGGUGGCCCUUUCGUGGUGUGUUAACAAGGUGUUGAGGCCUUGGUCGCUUCAAUCAGCUUUUGCAGAAAUUGAGAUCGCAAUGUUGAAGGUGGGAAAUGUUGUCUUCUCAUUGGCGGGUAGGAAAGGUAUUGGUAUCGUUUUUUCCUUGGCAAUGGUAGGUGUUAAUCGGACACAAAUAUUUAAAGCUUGGUGGUGAUGCUUAGUUUUGAUGAAUUAGCAGGUUUUUAUUUUGUGAUUGGACUAUGUUUUUGCUGUAAGUUUUUUCUAUUUUUGGACGCUGCUCUGUUUUCUUUUGACAAUGCAGAUUGAAUGAAGCAAAAAAAUAAAAAUAAAAAUUUAAAUGCACAUUUGUUACUUUAUAAUACCAUGUCUAAAAUGAACAGUUUAUUUCUCAAAAAGUACUUUUUUUAUAGCACUACUAAACACUUAAAUCUUAAACUAAAAUUUUCAAAAGUACUUCUCAAAAGCACUUUUCCCCAACACUUUUUAAAAUCAUUUUUCAAAAGCAAUGCUAAAUUAGCCCUAAUUGGAUUUUUAGUGAGUAAUAUGUGGAAAUGAUAAAUUGUCAUGACAUUACACAUAUGAUAAUAUGUUUGGUGCAUCGGAUUUUGGAUAUAGUAAAACUUUACUUAAUGGAUAUAACAAUUAUUGUUUGGUGAAGAUUGAAAUUUUAACAUUUGAUGAAGUACAUGAAUUAAAUACAUAGGUUUUGCUAAGUACAAGGACUAAUAGCAGAAAUUAACCUAAAAUUGAUAUAAUAUCGAUUCAUCGCUGAAUUUUACAAAAUCCACAUAUUUAAUACGUUUAUGUUUUAUUUUAAUUUUAAAAAAUGAAAUUUGGAAUUUACUCUCAUACCCCUUCUCUGCUAGAUAUAUAGGCAUCAAUAUCUUAAAGCUUUGAAUGCAAAACUCUUUAUUGCUUACUUAAAUUGGCAUUUAUACAUUAAUGGCUACUUGCUUUUCAUCAUCAUCUUGGUUAAAACUACAGUUCAUUAUUGUUGUCUUUCUCUUUGCCGUAAUAUCCAGCAUCAGUUCACCGGUGAAUGGAUGUUUCACAUCGAUUUUCAGCUUUGGGGAUUCCGUGUCAGAUACCGGCAACUUAAUUGAGAUUUCAAAUUUGGAAAUCGGAAAGAUUCCUCAUUCUGCUUUUCCUCCAAAUGGCCGCACCUUCUUCCACCGUCCAACUGGCCGCUUUUGUGAUGGCCGCUUGGUUAUCGAUUUCCUUGGUACGUUGUUUUUUCUCUUCUUUUUCUUUGAUUUUCUUUACUUACCAGCUCUUGAAUCUUGUCAAAGUCACACAAUCGAAGGAUACAUACUGUUUCCGAGAAUAGAUCUUUUUUCGGGAGAAGUUUUUAAAAUGUCAUUCAUCGGGCAAUCGAUUAAUCCCUCAGUAACUAAAGAUAUUAUUCUCGUAUCAAGGUUUCUUCUCCAAUCUUCGUUAAGAGUCAUGUACGAUUUAUGGAAGGAGCUCCUCGGUUGGUGGAGAUACGGCUUACAAGAUCUCAUGAGAGAUACCAUCAACUCGAGUCACCUCACAUGCAUUCUCCAUAAUUAAUAUUACUCACAAUACAAACAACUUUUCCAUGAGCUCUUGCAAGCAGUAUCUCUAUCAACUAAGGCAUCUCCUUCUGUGAACCGCACACGUCUUUCCACGGAAAUUGGGAACAAAACACUGAUACAAAGAUAAUAUCUUUUAUUAUUAAGGAACUAAUCUUUUAUUCGAUAAACAACAUGUCAGCCAAGUUAAAAAAUAUUAAUUUUUUCGUCCAUUUUAAAGUGAUUUACUAAUAAACACAACUUUAAGAAUUUAAAAAAUAAAAAAUUAAAUAAAGAGUUAAAAUUAUUAUUUUUUUAUGAAGUUGGAAUUUCACCAUUAAUAUUAGAUGGAUAAAGUCUACUAGGUAUAGAUGUUUGUUUUUUCUUGAACUCUUACCAUAUUAUCAUAAUAAUUAAAUUAAAUUAUUAAAUUAUUAAAUUAUUGAAUCUAAUUAUUAAUUUUAAAAUCUAUGUUUAUAUAUAAAUAUAUUAAUAAAUAUAUAAUUGAGAUAUAUUUAUAUGUGUAUAUUAUAUAAUUUACGUUUACUCAAAUAGUAUAUAAUUUAUUAAGAAAAAAAAAUUAGACUAUAUAUGUGUAAAAAAAAAAAAUCAAGCAACUUGAAAUGAUAUACUGAAACAUACGGGUAUUGAUAUGUAUUAGUAUCGAGAUAAAAACACGUUCAUCAGUAUAGUAAUGACUAAUUUGAUCCAUACUCUAUAUGUAUCUAAAUAUGAAUAAGAAUAGUAACGGCAAGCGCAAAUUUAAAUAUUUGCAAAUAUAUGAUCUAUUUUUACGAAUUUGAAUGAUAGAAAUGCAAGUAAUAUUCGUAUUAAGAUUUUCUAGUUACUUUCCGAAGCAUAUAUAUAUAUAUAUAUAUAUAUAUAUAUAUAUAUAAUAGCUUUAAAGCUAUUUCAAUUCAUAAAUAUUUUUUGUUUUUAAUUUUUUACUUGUUAAAUUCAAAUAUUAGCAUAUUUAAAUGGGUUGGUAUUUGGUACACUAACGGUAUAUAUUUUUUUUAUUCCACAAGUAACUCUAAAAAAUUGUCACGUUUCUCCGUUUUUUUUUAAAUUAUACUACACUCUUAUAGCACUCUUGUCAACCCCUUAACUCUAUAUAUUUAAAAACUUUAUUGAUAGUGUACCAAAUGUUCUUCCUAUUUGGAUAUCCAACAAAUAAUUUAUUUAGUUCAUAUUUUUUAUUUUUCUCUUGAAAUAUUUAGAAAAUUUCAUUUAGAUGCAAUUUUUAAAAAUUUUUUUUUAUAGAACUUUUAAAAAUUUUACUAGGCUCUCCAAGCUUUAGUCUCAAGAUAGGCCAUUGUGCUAUCAAAUACAUAUUUAUAUAUCCAUUAAUUUAUUUGAUAAUAUUUGUCUAUGGUUUUGCAGCUGAAGCUUUGGGGUUGCCAUUUCUUCCACCAUAUUAUCGAUAUAAAAAUGCAACAUCAGAGAAAUUUGAAAAUGGUGUGAAUUUUGCAGUUGGGGGUGCUGGUGCACUCAAUUCUUCAUUUCCUGGAAUCUAUAAUCCCAUCACCGUCAUAUCUUUAGUAGAUGAAGUGAAUUCCUUCAAACAAUUUCUUAAUUUACGUACAGAUUUCAAACAGCUGCUACGGAACUCCUUGAUUGUGAUGGGAGAAAUUGGGGGAAAUGAUUACAGUCAUGCCUACAAGCAAGGAAAAAACAUUGAGGAUGUUCGAAACUUUGUUCCUCCUGUUGUUGAUUCUAUAACUUCAUCGAUCAAUGUAAGAAUCGCCAGUUUUUUAAGGCAAUUGUUGAUCGGUACUGUGUUUCAGAUUAUUAUAACAUUUGAGUUUGAUAUGUAGGAGUUGAUCGAGUUAGGUGCAGUGACAUUUCUGGUCCCUGGAAACUUCCCAAUUGGAUGCUCUGCCUCUUAUUUGACACUGUUUCAAGGUUCAGACAAGGAUCAAUAUGAUCCCUUAACUGGUUGUCUAACAUGGUUGUGUUAGUACAAAACUCCAGUAAGGAAAAAACUCGAACACACGAUCGGAACUCGAAAAGAAAAAGAAGAAAUAGGACAGGCUCCAAGGCGUGUAUCAAGCCACUAUCUUUAAGGUUAUAUUCGCCCCCACUUAUCUUCAGUGUGCAAACGAGUUCCAAGCAAAUUAACCUCGAGGAUACAAUGAAGCCAAUGACUAUUUGCGUUUUGCACUGACGAGAAUAGUCCACUAUGCACUGAGUAAUGUAUAACAAAAACUCAAUUUCUACAAAGGAUUUCUGCAGCAAUACUUUAUAGAAUAAUCUAAUAAUAUUAGAAAAUGAAGGAAGAGAAGAAAUAAUAUUAGAAUUUGUUGAUAUGAUUUCCAAAUGAAAUCCCAUUCCUAUUUAUAGGAAUUUUCAUGUCUCUUCAUAGAGACAUCUUUCAAUAGGUGUCUUUAUGAAUAAAUAAAUAAUAAUAAUUAUUCAUUUAAUUUUGUAACUAUUCAAAUAAUAUUUUUUGAAUAGUUAUAAUUCUUUUUAAAAAAAAAUCAAAUGAUAUAACUUUUGACCAAUGACCAAAAGUUUUAUCUUUUGAUUAAUUACACCCAUUCAUUUAUAGUUAUUGGGAUACUAUAAAUAUUUGAAAAUAUUCCAACAGGUUGAACCAAUUCUCUCAACACCACAAUCAAUUACUUCGAAAAGAACUCGAAAAAAUUCGAAACCUUCAUCCCGAUAUCAACAUAGGUUAUGGUGAUUAUUACAGCACUACAAUGCGGAUUUACAAUUCUCCAAACAAAUUUGGUAGGGUUUGGUUUGGUCACUUUCUUCGAAACAAGAAAGCUUAAGUCUGUCAUCCAACUUAAUCGAUUUUUUCUCGAGUUGUUCCAGGUUUUAAAGAAACAUUGAAGGCUUGCUGUGGAACUGGAGGUGUUUACAAUUACAAUCUUUCGAGAGCUUGUGGUUAUCUGCCAGCAACACAAUGUUGCAAUGACCCUUCUUCGUAUAUGAGCUGGGACGGAAUCCAUUAUACAGAAGCAGUCAACAGAUUGAUUGCCAAUGUUGUAUUUGAGGAAUUGAUGAACAGCAUUCAUAGUUUAAAUAACUUGUGUCCUGCAUUAACUAUAAACAAAUUGAGAAUGAUAUAUCCAAAGUCAGAGAUGUAAAUCGUAAGGGGUUUUCGGCUCGUAUUUGGUAUAACUCGACUAAGUAAUAUAGCUGUAUCCUAAUAAACUCAAAAAUUUCUAAGUUGAGUUGUCUUCUUAUAGAUUAAGAGACUUAAUAUUUUUUAUUGUUUUAGUUUAAUAAAAUAUCCAUAAAUUGCUUAGUUUAAUUUUUGAAUUGGAUUGACCUAUACGAGUGUAAAGUGGAGUAAUUUUAUGAGAUUUAUGAUGGGAGUAUCUAGAGCAGUCAUGAAAAUCUAAGCUUGCGCAUGACCUAUUAGUGCACAACUGUGUCGAAGAAAGAAUUAUAGGUAUAGUGUUAUCAAUGAGAAUGUUAAUUUAUGUGAUACAUGAUUGGUUAUAGAAACCUAAGUUGUACGAAUUGUUUAGUAAAUUAAAACUCAUUUAUCUAAAUUUUGAUUCAUAAUCUAAAGGAUGCUAGAAUUAUUGCAUUAUAUCAUAAUUCUCAGCUAAAAUCUUUCCAUUAAUAUUCUUUGAAAUGUACAACCCAAAUUUAGCCCAAUUACAGACCCAAAAUACAAACCCAAAUAAAACCUAAACCAAAACCUACCCAAUAGAAGCCCAAUUUACCCAAAACAUACCCAACCCAAACACACAACAAAAGAAAAAAAGCCAAGGAAACCCUAGCCGUUUAGCUGCUGCCUCCCUGUCCCAUCCACCGACGCCUGCAGCACUGCCCCACCGACGUUCAAGUUGCACCCCUGCAGACAUUAAAGAGACAGGACAGAAAGCAAAAAAGAAAGAAAUGUAAUGGCUAUUUAAAAGCCAAAUCCAAAAACUGUAAAGACAUUCGGGCAUUUUCAGUAAAAAUAAUAAGCAAUAUUAGACCAAAAAACAAAAACAGAUCAAAAACAUAGGCAUAAAGUCGCAACGAAAAAUCGAAGGGAGUUCAAAGAGCGCAAGGCAAGGUUUAACUAUUCUCUUUCGGAUCUAUUUUCUAAGUAUUUUUUUGUUUGAUUUAAAUUAAAAAUAACAUAUACAUACAUAUUCAUAAGCACUAAAAUACAGCAAAAAAAUAUAAAAAAAAUCAUACCGAGAGCGAUUUCCGGCCACCGUACACGGCGGACGACACGGCGGCGGACGGUCGGCUCCUCGCCGGUUUCUGGGCUUGCUGCAGAGAAAGGAGAAAGGAGAGAGGUUUUCAGCUUUUUUUUUGCUGGAAAGAAUGAAAAAUGAAGUUUCAAAAAAAAAACUUGACUUUUAAAGGCCCCCGGUACGACGUCGUUUUGAGGCGUGCAUUCAGCACCCAAAACGACGUCGUUUAGCGACCCGAUCCACGACCCGACCCGUCUGCCCG
rnacentral:lncRNA from 1 species